UCCCAUAUUUUUUAUUGGUUCAUUAUAAUUGAACGUAAUGGUGGGAUUAGUAAAUAAUACGAAUCCCACCAUUAUGUUCAAUUAUAAUGAACCAAUAAAAAAUAUGGGA
rnacentral:miRNA from 1 species